GAGUUUGAUCCUGGCUCAGGAUGAACGCUGGCGGCGUGCCUAACACAUGCAAGUCGAGCGAAGCGCUAUACUUGAAUUCUUCGGAAGGAAAGUAUUGUGACUGAGCGGCGGACGGGUGAGUAACGCGUGGGUAACCUGCCUCAUACAGGGGGAUAACAGUUAGAAAUGACUGCUAAUACCGCAUAAGACCACAGCACCGCAUGGUGCGGGGGUAAAAACUCCGGUGGUAUGAGAUGGACCCGCGUCUGAUUAGCUAGUUGGUAAGGUAAGGGCUUACCAAGGCGACGAUCAGUAGCCGACCUGAGAGGGUGACCGGCCACAUUGGGACUGAGACACGGCCCAAACUCCUACGGGAGGCAGCAGUGGGGAAUAUUGCACAAUGGGGGAAACCCUGAUGCAGCGACGCCGCGUGAGUGAUGAAGUAUUUCGGUAUGUAAAGCUCUAUCAGCAGGGAAGAAAAUGACGGUACCUGACUAAGAAGC
rnacentral:rRNA from 1 species